UCCGCCAGGGUAUUACGAACAUCAGUUUAAAACCCAAAGGACCUGACGGUGCCUUAGACCCCCCUAGAGGAGCCUGUUCUAUAAUCGAUAAUCCCCGUUAAACCUCACCAUUUCUAGCUUAUCCAGCCUAUAUACCGCCGUCGCAGCCCACCCCAUCAAGGGAACAAGAGCAAGCAAAAAGAGUACUACUCAGAACGUCAGGUCAAGGUGCAGCGAACGAAAUGGGAAGAAAUGGGCUACAUUUUCUACAACAGAACAACACGAAUACACAUUAUGAAACUAAUGUUUAAAGGAGGAUUUAGUAGUAAAGAGGAA
rnacentral:rRNA from 1 species